UACGUAGGGUGCGAGCGUUAAUCGGAAUUACUGGGCGUAAAGCGUGCGCAGGCGGCUUUGCAAGACAGAUGUGAAAUCCCCGGGCUCAACCUGGGAACUGCAUUUGUGACUGCAAGGCUAGAGUACGGCAGAGGGGGAUGGAAUUCCGCGUGUAGCAGUGAAAUGCGUAGAUGUGCGGAGGAACACCAAUGGCGAAGGCAAUCCCCUGGGCCUGUACUGACGCUCAUGCACGAAAGCGUGGGGAGCAAACAGG
rnacentral:rRNA from 1 species